rnacentral:tRNA from 2 species
AGGUCAGUAGCUCAAUUGGUAGAGCAGCGGUCUCCAAAACCGCUUGUUGGGGGUUCGAGUCCCUCCUGACCUG